UUUUUUUAAUUAAAAAAACAUCCUUUUCAGUCAAAGUUAUAGUUAUGAAACCUUCAGAAAAGAGGCAAGAAAGCAAUGUGGAUGAGCUCUUGGAGGAAUGGGAGAUGCGGUGGCAAAGUCUACAGAGUCCAAAGUUACACAGCUGUUUCAUUCAAGCUGGGUAUGCAGAGAACAGAGGAGCUCUGUGUCAUUAAAUGGGAUCUCUCAAGAAAGGGAAGGAGACCAUGAGGACAGAGCAAUGCAAGUAGGAAUUAUGAGUCUGCUGUUCUUGCUGACAGGGGCUGAUGUGAGACAUGGAGAGAGAUUUGAGGUGAGGCAAUGUGAAGAAGCUGGAGAUCCUGGGGAAUAGUGAACCACAGAGGAUGACAGACUGCAGAGAGGUUUUGUACAACUUUAAAGUUCUGUUUCUCGUGGAUGCUUCUCAACAGGGGGAGGAGAUAAAGGAGAGGACCACAAACAGGCCUCCUGACAGCACCUGCUGUAGAACGAAAGAGUCUGGGAAAACAUACUUGUCAGACAUGAAAUAAAAGCCAUCAGAAGAAACCUGAUACAGGCCCUGCCUCAUUCAGAGUGCGGGAUGAACAGUGCUUGGAAUGAAUCGGCACAAUGAAGUGAAAGAGGCUGUUGUUUGCAGGACUCAUGGCAGUUGUUGAGGAAGUUGGAAUAUGUGUUUUGAAUGAGUUGGGAUGUCAAGAAAAGAAAGGAUGAUCCUGUAGCUGAGGCAACUGUGUUUCCCAGGAGAAAUGAGUUUCUGUCACUGCCUUUGCCAAAAAGAUUCUGUGAGGUACUGUUUUGGGGGAGAAAGGACAAAACUUUUCUCAGGUAUCCACUAACUGUGAACACAUCAUUUUCCUAGAAAUCUGGGGGUAUGGAUCCAUUUUCUUUAUGACCCACUAUCAAACAAAAUGUUGAGCUCAAUGCGCAGUGUUUUUCAUUCUUACACUUUAAUGAAAAUGUAUGCCAUCGUAAUUAAAAACUAUCUUACAAGA